AUUGAACGCUGGCGGCAUGCCUUACACAUGCAAGUCGAACGGCAGCGCGGGGGCAACCCUGGCGGCGAGUGGCGAACGGGUGAGUAAAAUAUCGGAACGUGCCCUAAAGUGGGGGAUAACGUAGCGAGAGUUACGCUAAUACCGCAUAAGAUCUAAGGAUGGAAGCGGGGGAUCGCAAGACCUCGUGCUUUAGGAGUGGCCGAUAACUGAUUAGCUAGUUGGUGGGGUAAAGGCUCACCAAGGCGACGAUCAGUAGCUGGUCUGAGAGGACGGCCAGCCACACUGGGACUGAGACACGGCCCAGAGUCCUACGGGAGGCAGCAGUGGGGAAUUUUGGACAAUGGGGGCAACCCUGAUCCAGCAAUGCCGCGUGUGUGAAGAAGGCCUUCGGGUUGUAAAGCACUUUUGUUCGGGACGAAACGGUUUGGGCUAAUACCCUGAGCUAAUGACGGUACCGAAAGAAUAAGCACCGGCUAACUACGUGCCAGCCGCCGCAGUAA
rnacentral:rRNA from 1 species